rnacentral:lncRNA from 1 species
UCCAAUAGAGCCACAACAGUUUAGAGAGGAGCCUUUUCAUCUCACGCAAUGGUUUGAAGAGGUACGUUUUCAUCUAUUUCUUCAUCCAUAAAAAUGAGAGAAAAUGCUCUGAGUCCAUCAUUAACUGCCUGAGUCCAUCAUUAACUGGUCAAUAUUCAUUCUCUUCUUUGAAAAUUUUCUUGUGGCCGAUCUGUCCCAGGUAUUUUUGUCUUUUCAAUAUUUUACCUUUUCUAUUUUCAUUUUUUGCUUCAUAUAAAUGAGUUCAAAUGACUCAAUACUUCAUUAUUGGGAAAUAACUGGGCGAAAGCUAUAAGUUCUUCUCCGGUUUCUGCUUCUAAUUCUUCCUUUACAUCCUUUAGUUCUGAUGUUUGUGAAAUUUUUACUCCCAUUCCUUUAGCCAUGGCUUACCCUAUUAGUACUUCGCCUCUUCAGCUAUUGUCCAAUCCUUUUAGGACUGUAGGUUUGAUAGAUGAGAGCCGGGAAGAAUCUUUUGGAGAAGUGUGGGAGUGUUCUAAGAUUAAAUCCACUGCCACAGAAGAGAAAUAGGAGAGAUGGAGAGUAUAUUUCAACAUCCCUAGUUCAGUUGAAGCAUUUUUACCAAGGGCAGAUCACUGCGUUUGCAACCUACAUAAGGGUUACGUUGCUUUGAACCCAGUGAUUCUUUAUGCCGGUCUGAGGCUUCAAUUUUCUCGUGCCAUUAGGAAGUAUUUGUCCUCUUGGAGAAUUCUACCCACACAACUAUGUCCCAACGGAUGGAGGUUGUUUUACGCUUGCUUGUUACUCUGGCGUUGGCUGGACUAACCCAAGCUUUCUAUAAAGCAAUUUAAUUCCUUGUAUAUCUUCAAAGAGGACGACAAAGAUUCAGGGUAGGGCCUAAUUUAUUUAGUGUGUCUUCUUCUAUAAAGAAUUGUAAGGACUUUCUUAUGUUAGGGAGGAUAGGCAAUUUAGCUAAGCUAAUGCAAAUAGGAUGAUGUUGUCCCAAUUCGUUAUCACAGCAUUUGUAAGUAUUUUCAUAUUUAGAUAAUUGUUUAUUGGACUUCUGCUCUGUACUUUCUAUUUUUUGCCAUUUUUCCCUUUUAUAUGUUAAUAGUUUACUGCCCUUGCACCAUUACUAAGAGCGCCAAGUGAAUAGGUG